rnacentral:rRNA from 1 species
UACGAAGGGGGCUAGCGUUGCUCGGAAUCACUGGGCGUAAAGGGUGCGUAGGCGGGUCUUUAAGUCGGGGGUGAAAUCCUGGAGCUCAACUCCAGAACUGCCUUCGAUACUGAGAGUCUUGAGUCCGGGAGAGGUGAGUGGAACUGCGAGUGUAGAGGUGAAAUUCGUAGAUAUUCGCAAGAACACCAGUGGCGAAGGCGGCUCACUGGCCCGGUACUGACGCUGAGGUGCGAAAGCGUGGGGAGCAAACAGG